rnacentral:rRNA from 1 species
CCUACGGGCGGCAGCAGUGGGGAAUAUUGCGCAAUGGGCGAAAGCCUGACGCAGCGACGCCGCGUGAGGGAUGAAGGUCUUCGGAUCGUAAACCUCUGUCAGCAGGGAAGAACGGUCACUGUGCUAAUCAGCAGUGAAUUGACGGUACCUGCAAAGGAAGCACCGGCUAACUCCGUGCCAGCAGCCGCGGUAAUACGGAGGGUGCGAGCGUUAAUCGGAAUUACUGGGCGUAAAGCGCUCGUAGGCGGUAUGUCAAGUCAAGGGUGAAAUCCCCGCGCUCAACGUGGGAACUGCCUUUGAAACUGGCAGACUGGAGUGUGUGAGAGGAUAGUGGAAUGCCGGGUGUAGGAGUGAAAUCCGUAGAUAUCUGGAGGAACAUCAGUGGCGAAGGCGACUAUCUGGCACAUAACUGACGCUGAGGAGCGAAAGCGUGGGUAGCAAACAGGAUUAGAUACCCCAGUAGUC